rnacentral:rRNA from 1 species
GGGGAAUCUUCCGCAAUGGACGAAAGUCUGACGGAGCAACGCCGCGUGUAUGAUGAAGGUCUUCGGAUUGUAAAGUACUGUCAUUGGGGAAGAACGGUUUUCUUGAAAAGAUUGAGAAGACAUGACGGUACCCAAGGAGGAAGCCCCGGCUAACUACGUGCCAGCAGCCGCGGUAAUACGUAGGGGGCAAGCGUUGUCCGGAAUUAUUGGGCGUAAAGGGCGCGUAGGCGGGCCUUUAAGUCCGGUGUGAAAGAUCAGGGCUCAACCCUGAGAGUGCAUCGGAAACUGGAGGCCUUGAGGACAGGAGAGGAAAGUGGAAUUCCACGUGUAGCGGUGAAAUGCGUAGAUAUGUGGAGGAACACCAGUGGCGAAGGCGGCCACCUGGACAGUAACUGACGCUGAGGCGCGAAAGUGUGGGUA